AUAGGAUUUAAUUUUUAGUAUAUAUAACAAUCGAAUAUUCUUUGUUUGAAAGCACUGGAGCAUAAGGGACUGGUGACAAGAGAUCAGAAUGAUUGCAACAUUCCUCUAUGUUUUCCUUCUUAUGACUGGAGUCGAGUUGAGUAAACACAGAGGAUCCCAAAUGCCAUGUAGUUUUGGAGAAUACGAUUUGAACAGGGAUGGAAUCAUUCUCAUAACCGAAUUCCUGUAUGCUGCAGAUGGUUAUGAGAAAAUGAGUCCGGAGACCAUUUUUAACACACUAGAUAAAAAUCAUGAUGGCAAAGUGGUGCGUGUCGAAUUCAUAAAAGCUUCUCCUGGGCUUUUACGUGAGGGCAUAUUUGAUCACUGCAAACGACGCAAGCCGUGUGUUUGGCACUGCGCGGGAUGCUCAGAUUGUUAGCAUGAUCUUUAAGAAAUUAAAACCAUUGUAGAGCCUGGU